UACCAGCACCCCGAGUGGUCGGGACGUUUAUUGGGCCUAAAGCAUCCGUAGCCGGUUCUACAAGUCUUCCGUUAAAUCCACCUGCUUAACAGAUGGGCUGCGGAAGAUACUAUAGAGCUAGGAGGCGGGAGAGGCAAGCGGUACUCAAUGGGUAGGGGUAAAAUCCGUUGAUCCAUUGAAGACCACCAGUGGCGAAGGCGGCUUGCCAGAACGCGCUCGACGGUGAGGGAUGAAAGCUGGGGGAGCAAACCGG
rnacentral:rRNA from 1 species